GACGAACGCUGGCGGCGUGCUUAACACAUGCAAGUCGAACGAAGUGGCGAACGGGUGAGUAACGCGUAAUCAACCUGCCCUUCAGAGGGGGACAACAGUUGGAAACGACUGCUAAUACCGCAUACUGAAGGAGGGGAUUGCGGCUGAGUAGCUAGUUGGAGGGGUAACGGCCCACCAGGGCGAUGAUCAGUAGCCGGUCGUAGAGGAUGAACGGCGAAAGUGGGACUGAGACAGGGCCCAGACGCAUACGGGAGGCAGCAGUGGGGAAUCUGAGGCAAUGGGCGAAAGUCUGACCGAGCAACGCCGCGUGGUUGAAGAAGGUUUUCGGAGCGUAAAGCUCUGUUGUUAGAGAAGCGGUAUCUAACCAGAAAGCCACGGCUAACUACGUGCCAGCCGCCGCGGUAAUAC
rnacentral:rRNA from 1 species